UAUAAACUUUGUCAUGAUUAAAUUAUAGCUUAGACCAAGCUUAAUAUGGUAAUUAGUGUAAAUUAGAAACUUAUUAAAAAAGAACUAAACAACCCAGCAAGAAACCUUAAACAAUAUUAGAAAUAAUAAUUUAUUAGCGUCUAACAGGGCUGACCAACUAGGUGCCAGCAGUCGCGGUCAUACCUAGAACCCAAGCUAUAAAUAUUUAGGCUGGCUAUUUAUUAGAACAUUUAUAAACAGGUAAAAUUUUUAUAAAUUGAAAUCAAACCUAUACUCGUUAGCCUAAACUCUAGCUAUAAACCAGGAUUAGAUACCCUGCUAUACAGAGCCAAAAUUUAAUGCUUAAGCACUAAGACUUUAUAGUUAAAACUUAAAUGACAUGGCGGCAGCUCAAUUUCAGGGGAACUUACCAGAUAAAUGAUAACCCACAGGGCACCCUACUUUUUCUAACAGUUUGUAUAUCACCGUCUUCAGAGCCCGCCUUAGAUGAGCUCGAAACGUUCAAAUUAGACAAAAAGACAGGUCAACAUGCAACCUAUGUAAAAGUCCUUAAGGUGAGUUACAAUGACUUUUAGUCUUGGAAGUUUUUUGAAAAUAAAACAGAAAACGGACUUGAAAGUAAAAAUUAUUUAGAACUAAAAUUUGAAUUUCAAAAAAGCUGUGCACAAAUCGCCCGUCACUCUCGUUGAUAAAAGGAGAUAAGUCGUAACAUAGUAAGUGUACUGGAAAGUGCACUUGUCUGGAU
rnacentral:ncRNA from 1 species